CAGGUUUCGGCCAUAACGUAACGUUCGUGAGACGCGUAGGUUCGCUUCAGAUCGCCGUUGGUCAUACAAAAAUCUUCUUUAAGAAGCCAUCUCUUAACUAACUGCAUAUUUUCAAGCAAAUAAACACCCCUUUCGGUGGAAAACAGUGUAUUUAGAUUUUUUGCGGUGAAGUAAAUUGGUUUCUGGGUCAAAUUCGUUCGAGGAUUGUCGAGCGUUUCCUCGCAUUUUUCAUCACUUUGGUGCAGUUGGAUCAAGUCAGUGACGGUUUGAUCAUGAAGGUGGAGGCAAGCCCCAGUGUGAAGCUCAUCUUUGAUCAGAAAGCUCCAUUAGCUCGCAGCUCCUCUUGCUCCAGCAGCAGCAGUGACAGCUCCACCUCCAGCAGCAGAGGGAGCCAUUCCUCCGGCAGGUCACGGAGGUCAUCACGGGGGCGUCGCAGAUCACCAUCCUCAUCGUCUUCUUCCUCACGCUCCCGUUCUCGCUCCCGUUCUCGCUCUCACCCACGCUGCCACCGGGUUUCCAGCCACUCACGCUGCCGCCACUGCCACUAUUCUCCCCCACGCCGUUACCGUGCUCACUCCCGCUCCUACAGCCCGUCCCCAGAACGAUCAUCUGGUCGCAGACGCUAUCGACAGCGCAGUCGCUCCAGCUCCCGCAGUCGCUCUCCAAGUCCCUACGGCUACUCCCGCCGGUCAUCCCGCUCUCCUGUCCAUCGGAGGGGUGGUAGAUUUGUGGGUAGGAAUCGGUGCCGGUUUUCCCCCUCGCCCUACAGGUACAGAUCUCACAGGAGCCGCUCCCGGAGCCAGGAACGCACUGCCAUCCGUCUCAGUCAAGCAGAGAAAAAGUAUCUAUUGGAUGUUGCUAAAACAAAUGCUGCAAGGAUUCUGGGAGUGCAAAACUUGGAGCUGCCAGCGAGCUUGAAAGAGUUGGAGGAGCAAGAAGAGAAGAGAUCUUCAUCAGUUCAAGAGAAAAGGUUCAGAGAUGACUCAAAACCAGCACAGGUGAGACUCGCACAUGCACCUGGCUGCCAUCAGAUCUCCAGAACUUGACAUGAAUGCAGGUUAAAGUUGAAUUAUAUUUGCAUGAACAUCUUGAGCUCUAUACAUUGUUCCAGUUAAUUUGUAGAAUACAGUUCUCACCUAUCCAUUAAGUGGAAUCUGGGGACGUUGACUAACUCAAUGAAACGCAACUUAAGUAUGAAUGCGUCCAAUUUGGGUUACAUGUAAUCUGUCUCCUCAGACGUGAAUGAUUUUGCCUGAUGGAUUUAAUGGAAUGAUGAACAGCUCGUAUCCGGAUUAGAGCUGAACUCCUUCACCCUUUGGACAAAGAGGGAAAGAGGGGGUGGUCACAUGACUUGAAAGACACCAACUUUAAGUCUUAAAUUCACAACUGCAAAGGUUAAGUAAAUGCCAUGUCAGUGGUAGAAUUGUGUUGAAAAACUGAAAAAACACUUUUAACAGUAAUAUAAAACCAAUGUUUCUGAUUCAUCCAGAAGAUCAGCCACUUCCAUACAAUACAUAUACUGUACAACUGUUAGAAUGGCAGGCAUGUUUGCUGAUGGUUGAACUGGUUUGUUUGAUAAUUUACCAGUUUUCCUCUG